rnacentral:rRNA from 1 species
GUACACUCCUACGGGAGGCAGCAGUGGGGAAUAUUGCACAAUGGGCGCAAGCCUGAUGCAGCCAUGCCGCGUGUAUGAAGAAGGCCUUCGGGUUGUAAAGUACUUUCAGCGGGGAGGAAGGCGAUAAGGUUAAUAACCUUGUUGAUUGACGUUACCCGCAGAAGAAGCACCGGCUAACUCCGUGCCAGCAGCCGCGGUAAUACGGAGGGUGCAAGCGUUAAUCGGAAUUACUGGGCGUAAAGCGCACGCAGGCGGUCUGUCAAGUCGGAUGUGAAAUCCCCGGGCUCAACCUGGGAACUGCAUUCGAAACUGGCAGGCUAGAGUCUUGUAGAGGGGGGUAGAAUUCCAGGUGUAGCGGUGAAAUGCGUAGAGAUCUGGAGGAAUACCGGUGGCGAAGGCGGCCCCCUGGACAAAGACUGACGCUCAGGUGCGAAAGCGUGGGGAGCAAACAGGAUUAGAAACCCCAGUAGUCCCA